rnacentral:rRNA from 1 species
GUGUCAGCCGCCGCGGUAAUACGUAGGGUGCGAGCGUUAAUCGGAAUUACUGGGCGUAAAGCGUGCGCAGGCGGUUGUGUAAGACAGGCGUGAAAUCCCCGGGCUCAACCUGGGAAUGGCGCUUGUGACUGCACGGGUGGAGUGCGGCAGAGGGGGAUGGAAUUCCGCGUGUAGCAGUGAAAUGCGUAGAUAUGCGGAGGAACACCGAUGGCGAAGGCAAUCCCCUGGGCCUGCACUGACGCUCAUGCACGAAAGCGUGAGGAGCAAACAGGAUUAGAAACCCCCGUAGUCC